ensembl:lncRNA
UCAAUCGUGGAUCAGGGAAAGCGAAGGCAGGAGCGUGAGGUGAACUGAAUUUCAGACAUCCCAUAUUUAGCGACAGUGCUCUGACAACGUUGGUCCUGCCUGACAGCUAGCCGGCUACCUAGCUAGCUGCCGCACUUGGCUGCAAAUGGAUAGCGAGGGGACUCUCUCUGUCGUUUCAAUCGUGGAUCAGGGAAAGCGAAGGCAGGAGCGUGAGGUGAACUGAAUUUCAGUAUCAGCUGAUGUCGAUGUGGAAAAAAUAACUGAGUUGUUUGGUGGUGGAGCUACAACAGAGGGCAGCUAUCCACCGGUGUGUGACAGAAAGGACAUGCCGCGAACGAGACAUAAAAGGCGGUGAGGCUACCGCCGAUCGACCGGUGUUUGCUAACGCGGAGGUCAAUCGUGGAUCAGGGAAAGCGAAGGCAGGAGCGUGAGGUGAACUGAAUUUCAGGUAAGAAGUUAUGACCUGCACUCUAUUUGGGUCAGAUAUAAACCGAGUUUAGGUGUAGUUUGUUUUCAUUGUGCUGACUUUUACAAUCGUACUGCGUGCUAGCUAGCACGACAGGAGUUUGUAUACAGCUGUGUGCGCGCUAAGUUACUGACGUUGGACUUUAUUUUAUUCAUAAGGGUUAGUUCGUAGAGUUGCCGUACAAACGGAAUCGUGCCACAUUCAGAGAAAAUAUUACGAUUUAUUCUGUCGUUACGAAGCCUCCCCUGUCAUUCUCUGCC